AUUGAACGCUGGCGGCAUGCUUUACACAUGCAAGUCGAACGGCAGCGCGGGCUUCGGCCUGGCGGCGAGUGGCGAACGGGUGAGUAAUGCAUCGGAACGUGCCCAGUAGUGGGGGAUAGCCCGGCGAAAGCCGGAUUAAUACCGCAUACGACCUGAGGGUAAAAGCGGGGGACCGAAAGGCCUCGCGCUAUUGGAGCGGCCGAUGUCGGAUUAGCUAGUUGGUGGGGUAAAGGCUUACCAAGGCGACGAUCCGUAGCUGGUCUGAGAGGACGACCAGCCACACUGGGACUGAGACACGGCCCAGACUCCGACGGGAGGCAGCAGUGGGGAAUUUUGGACAAUGGGGGCAACCCUGAUCCAGCCAUGCCGCGUGCGGGAAGAAGGCCUUCGGGUUGUAAACCGCUUUUGUUCGGGAAGAAAUCCUCUGGGCUAAUACCCCGGGGGGAUGACGGUACCGGAAGAAUAAGCACCGGCUAACUACGU
rnacentral:rRNA from 1 species